rnacentral:rRNA from 1 species
ACGCUCGACACCUACGGGAGGCAGCAGUGAGGAAUAUUGGUCAAUGGGGGAAACCCUGAUGCAGCGACGCCGCGUGGAGGAAGAAGGUCUUCGGAUUGUAAACUCCUGUUGUUGGGGAAAAAGAGGAUGGUACCCAACAAGGAAGUGACGGCUAACUACGUGCCAGUAGCCGCGGUAAUCUGAGCGGGCUGGCAAGGC